UGGCGGACGGGUGAGUAAUGUCUGGGAAACUGCCUGAUGGAGGGGGAUAACUACUGGAAACGGUAGCUAAUACCGCAUAACGUCGCAAGACCAAAGAGGGGGACCUUCGGGCCUCUUGCCAUCGGAUGUGCCCAGAUGGGAUUAGCUAGUAGGUGGGGUAACGGCUCACCUAGGCGACGAUCCCUAGCUGGUCUGAGAGGGUGACCAGCCACACUGGAACUGAGACACGGUCCAGACUCCUACGGGAGGCAGCAUG
rnacentral:rRNA from 1 species